CCCCUGAAGAAUUCCAAGCUCAAAACACUUUACCCCUGAAGAAUUCCAAGCUCAAAACCCUUUACCCCUGAAGAAUUCCAGGGAUCCUCGACAGGGGGGGUACGGAUAUUAAAUGGAAUAGCCCAAUGGCAUCAUAGCGAACACAUUUUAAUGAUGCUCAAAUAUAUAUUUAGUGCGCUAUUUUCUUUAAAAUAUGACCCUGUUUGCUUUCUAAAUACAACAAAAUUACUGCUUUACCUUCUGUUCAAAUAGUUCCAC